rnacentral:rRNA from 1 species
CCUACGGGAGACAGCAGUGGGGAAUAUUGCACAAUGGGGGAAACCCUGAUGCAGCGACGCCGCGUGAGUGAAGAAGUAAUUCGGUAUGUAAAGCUCUAUCAGCAGGGAAGAAAAUGACGGUACCUGAGUAAGAAGCCCCGGCUAACUACGUGCCAGCAGCCGCGGUAAUACGUAGGGGGCAAGCGUUAUCCGGAUUUACUGGGUGUAAAGGGAGCGUAGACGGCAAUGCAAGUCUGGAGUGAAAGGCGGGGGCCCAACCCCCGGACUGCUCUGGAAACUGUGUGGCUGGAGUGCAGGAGAGGUAGGUGGAAUUCCUAGUGUAGCGGUGAAAUGCGUAGAUAUCAGGAGGAACACCGGUGGCGAAGGCGGCAUACUGGACUGUAACUGACGUUGAGGCUCGAAAGCGUGGGGAGCAAACAGGAUUAGAUACCCCAGUAGUC